rnacentral:lncRNA from 10 species
GCAGCAGCUGCUGCACAGAGACAUGAUGGCUAGGCUAAAAACAGUAAGGUCAAGUUGUUUGGACAGAAAGGCUACAGGGUGCAGUCCUGGCUCUUGUGUAAGAAUUCUGACUGCACUAACCAUGCCUAGGAAGGGAAGGAGUUGUUGUUUUAUAAGGGAUUGAGGUUUGGGAGAUUGAUCGGACACGAUCAGCAGGGAAAGCAUGUGUGUUUGUAUGAGAAUUAUGCCGAGAUAGGUUUUAGAAGCCCAUGCUGUAGCAGGCAAGUGAUAACAGGCUUUAAUCCUUUAAAGCGUGCUGUGGGAUGGGAUAUUGGCGUUGAGCAGGGUAAGGGUGAUUAGGUUUUAAUCGGAUGGUAAUGGGCAUGUGAUCGGUUGCCAGGGAAGUAGAGAUGUCCCAU